AACUACUCUUCUCCCCUUCUCUUCAUCUCGUUGCCGAGCAGCGCUGAGCUGAUCUCUUCAUCUUCCCCCAACCGGCCGCGACCCUUCUUCUCCGUCACGAUUAAAGCAGUGGCCAAGGGAAAUCGGGCACAUCUCUUUCUCGAUUUCCUUCUCUUCUUCCUCUCUUGCGCGGAAGACUCGACGCCGAUGGAAGCUUUCUCCUGCAGCGAUCAUUUUCAUCGCAUAGUUUGAGGAGGACGUCACUGGAUCUCGAUGGUAUCGGCAGAGUCCUAGCUAUCUUCGUCUAAUUGAUCGACUCUUCGGGGGUUCUUGUGCUUGAUCGACGAAGGCUUGGUGGCUAGGGAACAGUGGGAGGGGGGGGCUUGAUUCGCGUCGUUCCCAGCCGAACAAUCCCUUCGUUCCUCCUUCCCGAGCGGUUCACAGAGCCAUCAAUGUCUCCUUUCAAGCGGGAUCAGAUCAUGCGACAAACUCUGGAGGCGACCAAAUAAGUUAAGGCAGUGUCGGGAAUUCUGUGAAUUUAAGGAUCUUGUUGAUUGGUACCCCUUUUUGCGAUGUUCUUUCUGUUUGGACUAGGGGAAUGCAUCGGAAUAGCUCACUAUUGGUUUCCCCUGAUCAGAUCCUGGUCCUCCUCAUUCUUGCGGCUAAUUGAGGUCUCUAUUGAAGGUAUUGGGGAUCUUUUGAGGACUCUGAUUCGAGACGAACGUCUCGACGUCGGAUUGGUUGGAUACGAUCUUAUUUUUGAGACGGGUUGAAGCUGUCAAGAGGUUUCAGUCGCUAGUCCCCCACUAGGUGUCGAGAUAGCUUUCUGGUUUCAGACUUUCAUUGUUUCCUUGUUUUGUUAUGACUAGAGACUUAUGACGUGUAGUUCUUGUACUUCUGGAUUCUAUGUCGUGCUUCGGGUAUGAUGCUCAUGUUUUUUCGCUGCAAAAGUUUUCUAUUAUGUUGUGUUUUCCUUGUUAUAGUGGAGUAGGUUUUUAUCAUUAUAAUUGCGUGGUUGUGUCAGUCGGAGGUUGAAUUAUAUAAACUACGUGGAAUGCUUGUCAUAUUUUAUUGUAUAUGUUUCGACCGUGUUGGCCGUGGGUUGAGGGGCCCUGAGGGCCUUGUAGAUAAGUUUCAGAUUGUCACCCAUACAUGGGAGAUGUUGCUGAAAUUUUCUCUGACAGGGACUCCCUUGGGGCGUAACAAUUUAUUUGGUAUCAGAGCCCAAUUUUGUGAGUCAAUCUGGGUAUUUUUUGGAUUUGUACCGAUUUCCAUUAUUUUAAUGUUUCAGAAUUUUGUUUCGGAUUUGUACGGAUUUCUGUUGAUUUUUUUUUUAUGUUUCUAAAUUCUGAGAUCUUUUUAGACAAGGUUAUAUUGGGGACUUGGCAACGACGGAACAUCUCCAGACGGCAAAUAGGUAUGAUGAUUACUUUUAUAAUUUAGUACUUGUAUUAAUACCUGGGUAAUAAAUUUAAACAGAUAUGAGGCAAAGUACAUGUGUUCCCGUGCCGAGACGUGGUGCAGAAUGUCCACGCAAGAGGACAUUGGAAUCCAUAGCGAUAGAGUCACCAGAGAUGUCUACUAGGGUCGAGCCCGUCAGUCAGGGACAGACUCCACAUGGUACUGCUAGCGCAUCGGGCUCUCAGACUCCGAUGGUUUCAGAGGUUGAAGUUGUCAGGAGGUUCUAGUCGCUAGUCCCCCACUAGGUGUCGAGAUGACUUUCUGGUUUCGGACUUUCGUUGCUUCCUUGUUUCGUUAUGACUAGAGACUUAUGAUGUGUAGUUCUUGUACUUAUGGAUUCUAUGUCGUGCUUUGGGUAUGAUGCUCAUGUUUUUACGCUGCGAAGGUUUUGCGUUGUGUUGUGUUUUCCUCGUUAUAGUGG